AUUGAACGCUGGCGGCAUGCCUUACACAUGCAAGUCGAACGGUAACAGGUCUUCGGAUGCUGACGAGUGGCGAACGGGUGAGUAAUACAUCGGAACGUGCCCGCUCGUUGGGGAUAACGAGUCAAAAGCUUUGCUAAUACCGCAUACGAGCUACGAAAGAAAGCGGGGGGUCUUCGUACCUCGCGCCGGCGGUGCGGCCGAUGGCAGAUUAGGUAGUUGGUAGGAUAAAAGCUUACCAAGCCGACGAUUUGUAGCUGGUCUGAGAGGAUGAUCAGCCACACUGGGACUGAGACACGGCCCAGACUCCUACGGGAGGCAGCAGUGGGGAAUUUUGGACAAUGGGCGAAAGCCUGAUCCAGCCAUGCCGCGUGCAGGAUGAAGGCCUUCGGGUUGUAAAAUGCUUUUGUACGGAACGAAAAGCCUCUUACUAAUAAAGAGGGGUCAUGACGGUACCGUAAGAAUAAGCACCGGCUAACUACGUG
rnacentral:rRNA from 1 species